UUUCCCUCGGAAGUUCCUCGAUUCCUCAUUCAGUUUCUCGCCUCCUUUUUUGAUCGUAGCGUAGUUGGUUCUGUUUGAACAAAAUUUUACGGAAAAAUUAUUAUCACGCGACGCGACUAGAUUACAGUUGGCGCUUGAGAUCUCCAUCGAUUGUUGUCACUUUGUUGGUCCAGUUAUGAUAAAUCCCAGGCUGCUGCAAGGAUGUUUUGGGUACGAGUUUUGAGUUUGUUUUGAGUUCCUGUUCUAACGGUGAAGGUUCACGCAUGAUAAAGCUGCUGCUCUUUGGCAACAGUUGUGCAAUCAACGAAACCGAAUAGAUAUUACUACUUUCGACGAACGAAGAGAAGCGAGUGCGGGGAAGGACGGGCAGGGCAGUUCUGGCUGUAGCAGAUAUUUCAGUAGAAGAUUGAAGACAGAAUUUUGACUCUCACAGCGAGUGUCUACGACUGGAAAGUGUCGUGGCUGGCCGCUGGAGAGGCCUCCGUGGGCUUCCUAUAACUUUGUGGUGGAGAGGGGUGUGUGUUUUUUGUUCUGUUUUUGGAGGGUCAGACACCUGGCGGUUUAGUAUACUUCCUCCACCCCCCCUCCCCCAAAACCAUGCUUCCGUGUGUGGAUGUGCGCACCACUCCAGUAAUGGGCAUUGACUAUGCAUUAUCCCCUUUUUAGACAUCAGGGUAGGACUUCAUUCACUUCGUCGUCCAGUGGAACAGUAGGCUUAUGAUGAAGUCGUGGACUGAUGAAAUAUUUUACAUCCUUCGGUGGACUUUCAGGAUAAGUAAUAAUUAGUACGCGAAGAGCUUGUAUGGUCACGUCUUUGUAUAUAAAGCUGUCUAGGGGACGAACUCUACUUACCUUGA